AAAGUACUCCCUCCGUCCCAAAAUUCUUGUCUUAGAUUUGUCUAGAUACGGAUGUAUCAAGUCACAUUUUAUUAUUAGAUACAUCCGUAUCUAGACAAAUCUAAGACAAGAAAUUUGGGACAGAGGGAGUAGUUG
rnacentral:pre_miRNA from 1 species